rnacentral:tRNA from 1 species
GUGCGCGUAGUUAAAUAAUAAUACUAGGUCGUGACCCUAGAGCUAUGGGACAACCCAUCGCGCACC